rnacentral:pre_miRNA from 1 species
ACAACAUUCCCACAGUUACUCUACCGAGCAAUUUCGUCCGCUCGGUGGAAGAUCUUUCCUUUGUCGA